rnacentral:rRNA from 1 species
GAUGAACGCUGGCGGCGUGCUUAACACAUGCCAGUCGAACGGAAAGGCUCCUGCUUGCAGGGGUACUCGAGUGGCGAACGGGUGAGUAACACGUGGGUGAUCUGCCCUGCACUUCGGGAUAAGCUUGGGAAACUGGGUCUAAUACCGGAUAGGACCGCAUUUUGGAUGGUGUGGUGGAAAGUUUUUUCGGUGUGGGAUGAGCUCGCGGCCUAUCAGCUUGUUGGUGGGGUAAUGGCCUACCAAGGCGUCGACGGGUAGCCGGCCUGAGAGGGUGUACGGCCACAUUGGGACUGAGAUACGGCCCAGACUCCUACGGGAGGCAGCAGUGGGGAAUAUUGCACAAUGGGCGCAAGCCUGAUGCAGCGACGCCGCGUGGGGGAUGACGGCCUUCGGGUUGUAACCUCCUUUCGCUAGGGACGAAGAGUAAUUGACGGUACCUGGAGAAGAAGCACCGGCUAACUACGUG